AUCUAACCCAAGAUCAUUUUGGAAGUGAGCAUUUGGGACAACCUUGCAAGGAUCAACUUUCUGAAAGUUUUUGACGACGUUGAUAACACGAUCCCUAACUUCAUCCUUGUCGAGAAACGAUCCCCUUACUUCCUCUGAGAAAUGACGUUUGAAAAGCUGACUAACUGAACCUCCGAUGAGCCUAGGGUUUCGAAGCUGCACUGGCCGAGCUUCCACUCUCAGGUACUUCAGCAAUGCGAUUCUCGCCGCCAUUGAAAAUCUUUAUGUAUAGAAAGAGAAUGCCGAGAUUUGGAGAAGAUGAACAAGCGGCGUGAGGGCUUUCUCAAAG
rnacentral:misc_RNA from 1 species